rnacentral:rRNA from 1 species
AUUGAACGCUGGCGGCAUGCCUUACACAUGCAAGUCGAACGGUAACAGGUCUUCGGAUGCUGACGAGUGGCGAACGGGUGAGUAAUACAUCGGAACGUGCCUAGUAGUGGGGGAUAACUACUCGAAAGAGUGGCUAAUACCGCAUGAGAUCUACGGAUGAAAGCAGGGGAUCGCAAGACCUUGUGCUACUAGAGCGGCCGGUGGCAGAUUAGGUAGUUGGUGGGAUAAAAGCUUACCAAGCCGACGAUCUGUAGCUGGUCUGAGUGGACGAUCAGCGUAGCUGGGACUGAGACAAGGCCCAGACUGCUAGGGGGGGCAGCAGUUGGGAAUUUUGAACAAUGGGCGCAGGCCUGAUCCAGCAGUGCCGCGUGCAGGAUGAAGGCCUUCGGGUUGUAAUUUGCUUUUGUACGGAACGAAAAGCCCCGGGUUAAUACCCUGGGGGCAUGACGGUACCGUAAGAAUAUGCACCGGCUAACUACGUGCCAGCCGCCGCCGUAACAC